AUUGAACGCUGGCGGCAUGCUUUACACAUGCAAGUCGAGCGGCAGCACGGGGGCAACCCUGGUGGCGAGCGGCGAACGGGUGAGUAAUACAUCGGAACAUGCCCAGUCGUGGGGGAUAACACUUCGAAAGAAGUGCUAAUACCGCAUACGUCCUGAGGGAGAAAGCGGGGGAUCUUCGGACCUCGCGCGAUUGGAGGGGCCGAUGUCAGAUUAGCUAGUUGGUGGGGUAAAGGCCUACCAAGGCAACGAUCUGUAGCUGGUCUGAGAGGAUGAUCAGCCACACUGGGACUGAGACACGGCCCAGACUCCUACGGGAGGCAGCAGUGGGGAAUUUUGGACAAUGGGGGCAACCCUGAUCCAGCCACUCCGCGUGAGUGAAGAAGGCCUUCGGGUUGUAAAGCUCUUUCGGCAGGAACGAAACGGCGAGCUCUAACAUAGCUUGCUAAUGACGGUACCUGAAGAAGAAGCACCGGCUAACUACGUGCCAGCAGCCGCAGUAAUAC
rnacentral:rRNA from 1 species